rnacentral:rRNA from 1 species
GUCUCCGUUGGUGAACCAGCAGUAGGAUCAUUAAGGUGAUUAACUAUAUACUGUGUGGACUAGAACCCAAUAAAGUGGAUAUUUACAAGAAGUCGUUAAGUUAAAACUUUCAACAACGGAUCUCUUGGCUCUCGCACCGAUGAAGAGCGCAGCGAAAUGCGAUAACUAAUGUGAAUUGCAGGCAUCGUGAAUCAUCGAGUUCUUGAACGCACAUUGCGCCCUGUGGUAUUCCGCAGGGCAUGCUUGUUUGAGCGUCAGUUCAAUCUUUGAGCUGGGGUUACUGUGGACGUGUCUGCGGUUUCCUUGAAAACGACGGUGUUGUGUUAACUACGUUUCACACGACCAUCCUUUUGACCUCAAAUCAAGUAGGAGUACCCGCUGAACUUAAGCAUAU